GACGAACGCUGGCGGCGUGCUUAACACAUGCAAGUCGAGCGGUAAGGCUCCUUCGGGGGUACACGAGCGGCGAACGGGUGAGUAACACGUGAGUAAUCUGCCCCUGGCUCUGGGAUAAGCACUCGAAAGGGUGUCUAAUACCGGAUAUGACGAACUCCCGCAUGGGGUGUUUGUGGAAAGUUUUUUCGGCUGGGGAUGUGCUCGCGGCCUAUCAGCUUGUUGGUGGGGUAAUGGCCUACCAAGGCUUUGACGGGUAGCCGGCCUGAGAGGGUGACCGGUCACACUGGGACUGAGACACGGCCCAGACUCCUACGGGAGGCAGCAGUGGGGAAUAUUGGACAAUGGGCGGAAGCCUGAUCCAGCAACGCCGCGUGAGGGAUGACGGCCUUCGGGUUGUAAACCUCUUUCAGUACCGACGAAGCUUACUCUUUGGGGUGGUGACGGUAGGUACAGAAGAAGCACCGGCCAACUACGUGCCAGCAGCCGCGGUAAAAC
rnacentral:rRNA from 1 species